rnacentral:rRNA from 1 species
UGCCAAACGCUCCGGCGCCGAAGGAUGUGGCUGCGGCCGAUUAGGUAGACGGUGGGGUAACGGCCCACCGUGCCAAUAAUCGGUAUGGGUCAUGAGAGUGAGAACCCAGAGACGGAAUCUGAGACAAGAUUCCGGGCCCUACGGGGCGCAGCAGGCGCGAAACCUUUACACUGCACGACAGUGCGAUAGGGGGAUCCCAAGUGCACAGGCAUAGCGCCUGUGCUUUUCGGUACCGUAAGGUGGUACCAGAAUAAGGGCUGGGCAAGACCGGUGCC